ensembl:antisense Gm15848 predicted gene 15848
UUUUCUGAGAUCAGCAAACAACUCUCCUCUCCUCCUUCCUAAACCACCCCCUUCCCGCUCACCCCCCCCAACCCCCGCCCAUGCUACGCUGUGGAGAAGGAGGAAGUUUUGAGUAGGCAUCCAAAGUCAACAGGGCGCAGUGAGAAGCACUUAUACUGAGUGACCUGGGAUACAUAGACACCCUUAUGGAUCCUUGACAUCUGUGCUCCAUUGCUCCAAAAGCCAGCAGGAGUCUCAAGGGGAGAAACACGAAACCUCAUGAAACUCUAUGCAGGAAAACACCUGACCAGAAGACAAGGUUAUUGUCAGGUCCAGAGGAAACCCCACUUCCCCAAAUUCCAAAAGGCAGCACCCAGAAAUGACCGUCUUGACUCAGGGUCUGCUGAAGUAUAGGAUUACUGAAGGAUACUGCCAGCGUUCCUGAGGAACCCAUGAAAGAGUUUCUGUCCACCAGAAAGAGGGCCAGAUAUUGAUCUCCUGCA